GCAUGCAUUGCCCAGCUGGUAGAGUAUGAGACUCUUAAUUUCAGUGUUAUAGGUUCGAGCCCCAAAUUUGGGCG